AGUGCUAUCUGAUAUCACUCCUGGUUGUCCACAAAGGAGCUACCAGUUCUUCUUUUGUUAUGGUGGUGAGGCUCUGUGACCUGCCUGGGAUCCGUGCUCAAUAAAUGCAUGAAUCUCUGCUUCUGGGGAAGAUAGGCAGGUAAGAAAAUCCCUUGGCCCAUGAAUUCAGAAAGAAUUGGCUCAGGAGAGAAAUGAGGACAAAAAAAAAAAAAGAAAGAACCUUUAUUUUACUUUUGUUUGGUACUGGGGAUUGAACCCAGGAGGCUGGCUUUGAACUUGCAAUCCUCCCACCUCAGCUUCUGGAGGCGCUGGGAUUAUAGGAGUGCAGCACAGCACCCAUCUAGACACAAGCAUUUCUUAAUGGUCCCUUAUGAGCUGCCUGUGUUAGGGGACAGGCAGAUGUAAAUUGUGGGAACAUGAAGAGAAUAAUUCUGUAAAAUGGGCCCACGGUGCUGACCCCCACAUGCUUUCUUUGCCAAAAAGCAAUUUGCCUGCAGCCCUGGCCUAAGUGGACAGGUUAUGUCACAUUCCCCAGAAAACUGAGGCAGGGGCAAAGGUCAGGCAAUCAGUGUAGGUAAUGAAUGAUGGGGAUCAAGAGAGACCACUGGUUAUCAGAGAACAGUGCGCUGCUAACAGUGAACCUUUGCACUCCUGCUCCCAGUCACGUACACGGGGAAGAAAAAGAAGGGAAUGAUUAUAAAGAGGGGUUCUGGGGCCUAUAGGGAAGCAAUCUCACCCCCUCCUAUGGACACCCAUCCCCUUCUCUCUGGAAAAAUCUAUCUCUAUCUUUUUCUUAAUAAAACUUGUGCUGUACACUUGCCUUGGUUCCACACCACAGGUAUUUUAUUCUUCAACACCCAGGAACAAGAACCCAUUCCUGGCCUGUACCCAUCUUGCUCCACAACUCUGUCAUAAGCUCCAUCCUCUGCUACAAAAACAAUCUAGAGCCAGGCAUGUUGGUGCACACCUGUAAUCCCAGAGGCUCGGGAGGCUGAGACAGGAGGAUUGUAAAAGCCAGCCUCAGCAAUGGCAAGGCAUUAAGUAACUCAGUGAGACUGUCUCUAAGUAAAAUACAAAAAAAAAAAAAAAAAGGUCUGGGGAUGUGGCUCAGUGGUCAAGUGCCCCUGAGUUCAAUCCCUGGAACCAAAAAAAAAAAACAGCCUAGACAGGUUCAGUCUUUCCCAGAGAUGGACAGCUGGUUAGAAGACCCAGAUUGCAAACCCACGUUCAUCAGGCUCCAGAAUUCUUGUGCUCUCCUGAAAUCCCCUCACUCAUGCCGCCACCAGUUGAGGCAGAGUCGGCCGUAAGCAGCUCAGGGUGGCAUCUAACAAUGCUGUACUUUGCUUUUGUUUUCUGGUACUAGGGAUUAAACCCUAGUUUAAAUUUUAUUUAAAAAGGAUCUUGCUAAAUCACCCAGGCCGGUCUUGAACUUGUGAUCCUCCUGCCUUAGCCUCUUGAGUCACUGGGAUUACAAGGGUGUGCCACCACGCCCAGUGUACCACACUGCUGUACUCUGUGUUUGUUUUUAGGAAAUGUGGAAACAGCAGAAGCACAUCAAGAUGAUUUUAGUCAGCUGUUAAGAUCUGAAGGAAAACUUGAAGCUCACAAGGUUCAGGGAUCACCCUGCUGCGCCAGGCAGGAGGACCUACCCAGUAUGUUCCCUCCAUGCUGGAAUCGCCUACAGGCCCCAGCCCAAGAAUGGAGAGGCAUAGAACCCGGAGGCCACCUGCAGAAGGGACUAAGGGGUGAGUUCUCAGGAUGCCAUUGUCAACCAAAAUCAAUUCUACAAACAGUGGUGUGAAUGCCGACUCUGUCACAGAGACAGCAUCGCUGAAAUCGAGCACUGUUACUAGUGUCCUUGGGCAAAGACACUGGCCCUGGGGGUGCCAAGAGACAAACUUGGCCACUUGUCCCUAUAUGCCAAUCAAAGAGAUGAAUCGUGGUGAAGGGUGAGAAAGGGAGAACUGGCUCUGGAGCAUUCUCUCUCUCUCUCUCUCUCCAUGGGACCCAGGGCUUUGCAACAUACCAGGCAAGUGCUCUACCAUGGAAGGACAUCCCCAGCUCAGCCCAGGAAAGGAGUUUUUCAACACAGCCACACUGGGACAAACCGACACUGGGGCACAGUGACCAAAGAUCUGUCUUCCAGGGACUGACAGAAACUUUGUGGUUUUACAGAAAAGGGCAAUGAAGGAGGUUUGCAUAGCUGCUGGGGAGGUCGUCCUGGUCAGGUCAUUCUGGUUGAUCAUUAUCUCAGGACUGGUUCUGUAUGGCUCUGGAAAGGUCACCAUGGCUGGAGGGAUGGUUCUGUUCUGAUCACGAGAAGAUUACUCCUGCUCAGGGGGCAACCUCGGCUCUGAUAUGGCAUCACUGCUCAGGCUCCGGGAGAUGUCUCAUCAUGUCUAUGGUGGGUUGAACUGUGCUUCCAGGCUGUUGCUUUGAAGUAGUUUCAGUCCUUUGUCAGAGUGAUGCUUAUCCAUCAGGCCUAUUCCUGGAAUGCAGAUAAUUGCAAGAGGAAGUGGCUCAGAGAAAAAGCACUGAAGCCUUGGAAUGGAGUCAGAGAGCGCCAGGAUGGAGUCCGUCAGGCCCAAUCAGCUGAGGGACCCCCAUUUUCUUCUUUCAUGCAUCUGUGCCACGUUCUCCCUUUCCACAGGCCUCUCUCGGUGCCUCUUUUCCCUCCCCUUCACUCUUAGACCUGCUGUUUUAGGCUCCGGGAAGUAAGCGUGUUGGGAUUGGAGUCAAUACAAUGGGAGUAGCCUAGCACUCCAAGGUCAAUGACAACUGGGGAUCCAUCCAUUAUUCCUGAUGUUACAGACAUCGCAAGACCACCUGGGGCUGGAUGGAGUGGCUCACACCUGUAA
rnacentral:lncRNA from 1 species